CCUACGGGAGGCAGCAGUGGGGAAUUUUGGACAAUGGGCGCAAGCCUGAUCCAGCAAUGCCGCGUGAGUGAAGAAGGCCUUCGGGUUGUAAAGCUCUUUUGUCAGGGAAGAAAAGGGUCUGGCUAAUAUCUAGGCCUCAUGACGGUACCUGAAGAAUAAGCACCGGCUAACUACGUGCCAGCAGCCGCGGUAAUACGUAGGGUGCAAGCGUUAAUCGGAAUUACUGGGCGUAAAGCGUGCGCAGGCGGUUUUGUAAGACUGUCGUGAAAUCCCCGGGCUCAACCUGGGAAUGGCGAUGGUGACUGCAAGGCUAGAGUUUGGCAGAGGGGGGUAGAAUUCCACGUGUAGCAGUGAAAUGCGUAGAUAUGUGGAGGAACACCGAUGGCGAAGGCAGCCCCCUGGGUCAAAACUGACGCUCAUGCACGAAAGCGUGGGGAGCAAACAGGAUUAGACUACCCUGGUAGUCCACGCCCUAAACGAUGUCUACUAGUUGUCGGGUUUUAAUUAACUUGGUAACGCAGCUAACGCGUGAAGUAGACCGCCUGGGGAGUACGGUGCAAGAUUUAAAACCGUUNAAAUAGAGUUAGAGNGNGNGAGNGCGAGACGACGACGAGGAGGAGG
rnacentral:rRNA from 1 species